AGCAGUAGCCGCGGUAAUACGUAGGUGGCAAGCGUUGUCCGGAAUUAUUGGGCGCAAAGGGCUCGCAGGCGGUUUCUUAAGUCUGAUGUGAAAGCCCCCGGCUCAACCGGGGAGGGUCAUUGGAAACUGGGAAACUUGAGUGCAGAAGAGGAGAGUGGAAUUCCACGUGUAGCGGUGAAAUGCGUAGAGAUGUAGAGGAACACCAGUGGCGAAGGCGACCCUCUGGUCUGUAACUGACGCUGAGGAGCGAAAGCGUGGGGAGCGAACAGGAUUAGAUACCCCAGUAGUCCCUGUCUCUUAUAC
rnacentral:rRNA from 1 species